rnacentral:rRNA from 1 species
GACGAACGCUGGCGGCGUGCUUAACACAUACAAGUCGAACGGUAAGGCCCUUCGGGGUACACGAGUGGCGAACGGGUGAGUAACACGUGGGUGAUCUGCCCUGCACUUCGGGAUAAGCCUGGGAAACUGGGUCUAAUACCGGAUAGGACCCUGGGAUGCAUGUCCUGGGGUGGAAAGCUUUUGCGGUGUGGGAUGGGCCCGCGGCCUAUCAGCUUGGUGGUGGGGUGAUGGCCUACCAAGGCGACGACGGGGAGCCGGCCUGAGAGGGUGACCGGCCACACUGGGACUGAGAUACGGCCCAGACUCCUACGGGAGGCAGCAGUGGGGAAUAUUGCACAGUGGGCGCAAGCCUGAUGCAGCGACGCCGCGUGAGGGAUGACGGCCUUCGGGUUGUAAACCUCUUUCAGCACCGACGAAGCGCAAGUGACGGUAGGUGCAGAAGAAGGACCGGCCAACUACGUGCCAGCCGCCGCCGUAA